rnacentral:rRNA from 1 species
CACGGGGGGAGCAAGCGUUGUUCGGAAUCACUGGGCGUAAAGGGCGUGUAGGCGGUCAAGUAAGUGGAAUGUGAAAGCCCCCGGCUCACCCGGGGAUCUGCAUCCCAAACUGCUUGGCUUGAGUACGGGAGAGGAUAGGGGAAUUCCUGGUGUAGCGGUGAAAUGCGUAGAUAUCAGGAGGAACACCGGUGGCGAAGGCGCCUAUCUGGCCCGAUACUGACGCUGAGGCGCGAAAGCGUGCGGAGCAAACAGG